AGUGAACGCUGGCGGUAGGCCUAACACAUGCAAGUCGAACGGCAGCACAGUAAGAGCUUGCUCUUACGGGUGGCGAGUGGCGGACGGGUGAGGAAUACAUCGGAAUCUACUUUUUCGUGGGGGAUAACGUAGGGAAACUUACGCUCAUACCGCAUACGACCUACGGGUGAAAGCAGGGGAUCUUCGGACCUUGCGCGAUUGAAUGAGCCGAUGUCGGAUUAGCUAGUUGGCGGGGUAAAGGCCCACCAAGGCGACGAUCCGUAGCUGGUCUGAGAGGAUGAUCAGCCACACUGGAACUGAGACACGGUCCAGACGCCUACGGGAGGCAGCAGUGGGGAAUAUUGGACAAUGGGGGCAAGCCUGAUCCAGCCAUACCGCGUGGGUGAAGAAGGCCUUCGGGUUGUAAAGCCCUUUUGUUGGGAAAGAAAAGCAGCAGGUUAAUACCCCGCUGUUCUGACGGUACCCAAAGAAGAAGCACCGGCUAACUUCGUG
rnacentral:rRNA from 1 species